rnacentral:rRNA from 1 species
GGUAGUCCACGCUGUAAACGAUGGGUGCUAGGUGUCGGGGUAUCGACCCCUCCGGUGCCGCAGCUAACGCACUAAGCACCCCGCCUGGGGACUACGGCCGCAAGGCUAAAACUCAAAGGAAUUGACGGGGGCCCGCACAAGCAGCGGAGCGUGUGGUUUAAUUCGAUGCAACGCGAAGAACCUUACCCGGACUUGACGUGCAGGUGGUAGCGACCCGAAAGGGAAGCGACCCGCAAGGGAGCCUGUGCAGGUGCUGCACGGCUGUCGUCAGCUCGUGCCGUGAGGUGUUGGGUUAAG